rnacentral:rRNA from 1 species
UACGUAGGGGGCAAGCGUUGUCCGGAUUUAUUGGGCGUAAAGCGCGUGUAGGCGGCCCGGUAAGUCCGCUGUGAAAGUCGGGGGCUCAACCCUCGGAUGCCGGUGGAUACUGUCGGGCUUGAGUACGGAAGAGGAGAGUGGAAUUCCCGGUGUAGCGGUGAAAUGCGCAGAGAUCGGGAGGAACACCCGUAGCGAAGGCGGCACUCUGGGCCGGUACUGACGCUGAGGAGCGAAAGCGUGGGGAGCAAACAGG